UUAUAUAGUAAUUCAACAUCUUAACACUCGGACUGAUGACGGACAAAUUAUUCGUAAAAGUUUGGUGGAUAAUAUAGAAACCAUCGCUAUGGAAAGUGACCAAGACACUGAUGUUGCAAUUAAUUGGCAAAAUCAAAAAAUUGUGGACGAGGAACAUUUAAUCAAAGAAGUUCGCAAACGUCCUCCAUUAUGAAAUUUUAAGCUUCCUUUGUUCAACAAAGCCUACAAAUAAAAAAAAUGCUAUGGGAAAAAAUAUCUGCAUUAAUGGAUGACGUUACAACUAUUAAAAAAAUGGAAAUUGUUAAGCGAUACUUUCACUAUAAAAAUAAACAGCAUCAAGUGGCUCAGCAAGGAUAUCACGCAAAAAAAUAGCUGGGUGCACUAUGAACGGAUGCAGUUUCUUAGCGAUGUACAACUUGAAAGCGAUCCUGAAUCAAGUCAGCCAAAAUUCGUGAUAGAGGCGAUCCCAUGAGCAAACCAAAAAUCUAUUCGUAAAAUUCGUCAUUAAACUUGAAAAAGGUGGAAUUUAAUAUGAUGGAAAUGGCUCUUUUACAUUCUUGAAAGGGGAUAGAAGUAUUCUUCUCAAUCAAGUUCCAUCUGCUUAAAACACUCCUUAAAGCUAAUUCGUUCGGAAUGUUGGAGUACAUAGACGAGAUGUCAAACGAAACCAUUCGAUAUUUAUCAGACAAAGAAAACAGCUAAAUUGUAAAAAGGACUAUUGAUGCAGCUGACAAUCAUUCUUAGCAGGAUGCCCUCCUUAUGUAUUUUUGGAUGCCCAUAGGAUCUCGAGAUCGUAUUCCUGUGGUCAUUUUAUUAGUGGGGUCUUUAUUAAUCAAUCUGUAAGUGUCAUUGUCAGAAAGUAUGUCACAAAUUUGUCUGGCUUCUACAAUAGUACAGUACAUCACAUCAAUGUCAAGCCAGACAAUCAUCGUUAUGUUGUCGACAUUCGUUGAUUUGCAAGGGUUUGUCGUGGAUAAGCGAUUUGUUGUCAAGGAGGUAGCAGUUUUAAAGAAUGAGAGUGAGUUGACACAUUAUAUUUUUACGUGCCCGAUGCCAUGACGUUUCCUGACGAAAGCUGAUCAAUCGCAUGCCUCAUGGUUGAUGACACAUCAUCACGGAUUGCGGUGGAAUGAUGGGAUGAUAUCAUAUCGUCGGCGCAGCGUCUGAUUUCAGAAGCUGUCAUUGAAGAGAGUGAGGCUAUUGUUUAUGUGAAGGGACUUGAAAAGCGGGGGUGGUUACUGGACAUUUUGAACAAUGAUGAAGUUAUAGUUGAAACGAUCGAUAUGUAUUACAACGAGAUUGAAUCGCUUGAAAAUCUAGACGCUACCAAUACGUUUCGGUGUGAAAGACAUGGCAAAUGU